CUUCUCAUAUGGAAGAUUGACAAGUUCGAUUUCAUCGCCUGCAUGGGAGCCUUCUUCGGUGUGGUUUUCGCCUCCGUUGAGAUUGGCCUCUUGAUUGCUGUAAGGAUUCAAAACACCUUGCCAUUUCAUCAUAUAUUAGUAUACAAAUGAUAGUAUUAUUUUGGUUUCAUGGCAGGUCUCAAUAUCAUUUGCUAAAUUACUAUUACAAGUAACAAGGCCUAGAACAGCCAUUCUUGGAAAAAUUCCAAGAACAAAUGUUUAUAGAAAUAUUCAACAAUAUCCAGAGGCAAGCAAGGUUCCAGGAGUUCUGAUUGUAAGAGUGGAUUCUGCCAUUUGUUUCUCAAAUUCUAACUACAUUAAAGAAAGGUAAACUUCUAUAUAUUUCCCAUUAGCAUUUAACAUAAUCAAGAAAAAGAAUUGAUUUUUUUGCUUGAAUUGUAUGCUACUGCAGGAUACUGAGGUGGCUAACCGCGGAGGAAGAGCAACUGCAAGCUACUGGCCUUCCCAAAAUACAGUUUCUUAUCAUUGAAAUGUCACGUAUGUUUUUGUGUGCGUGUGUUUUUACAUAUACAUUGCACUCAACGCAUCAAGACACCAUAUUUGCCCUGAAAUUAACAUGAAUGCAUUUUUAAGUGCAGCAAAUUUUACGGCGAAUGCAAUGAGUUUAUACAUUCAGUGCAAUGUUCUCGCAUUUGAACAUCUUCUUACAUACCUUUGCUCCAAAUAUGCUUUCAUUUUAACGUUGUUUGAUUCCUGCAGCCGUCACGGACAUCGACACGAGCGGCAUCCACGCGUUGGAGGAGCUGCUGAGGAGCCUGCAGAAGAGAGACGUUGAGGUAACCACCUUCACAAUGUAUACAAACAACCCCAAAAAAAAUGAAGUGUAAAACUUACCUUAAAUUUUUCCCAACAGCUGGUUCUGGCGAAUCCUGGGCCCGUCGUGAUCGACAAGGUGCACGCGUCGAAUCUUGCGAGUAUGAUCGGAGAAGACAAGAUUUUUCUUACAGUGGCAGAUGCCAUUCAAACAUGCUCACCAAAAUUUG
rnacentral:lncRNA from 1 species